GGGAGAAAAGGGCAGUGUUAGUUGCAAGUGUCCCAAGAGCUCAGCCUGCAGGGGACUGGGACACCCACUCUAGGGAGCUUGCUGCCUCAGGGUCCACCUGGCUGACCAGGGUGGGCGACCUUUGGGAAGGCAGAGGGAGGUCCCUGAGCACAGGAGGGAGACAGACCCAGUCAACACCUGAACUUGAGAUGCGUCCUCAGGAACUCCCUCUGAAAAAAUAAACACAUCUACCCGGGUCCAGGGCUUGGCUGAGGAACGGAUCAGGAAAGAUUCCAGCCAUUUUUGGCUUUUUCUAAAAGCUGACCUUUGCUAGGGCAUUAAUUCAAUGAGCUACCCUUCUGGUUCCCUAGCGUGUUUACAGUGUGACAGUGUACACUUGGGUUAAAUUAAAUUUCAUUUUGGAAAAACAACCCUCUCUAGUGGGUGUUCCUCCACACAUACAGGGGCAAUACAUGCAUGCUUCUAUAGAGAGGUUUCAAAGUGGCUUCUUGUCGCUUUAAGCACUAAGCAGAAGGAAAGAGGGAAGGAGAGCUUUUCUUAAAGGCACAGCGACCUUGAAAGUGUCCUUUUUUUUUUAGAAGGUUAGAGAGGGACUGAGGUAAAAAAAAAAAAAAAAAAAAAGAAAGAAAGGAAAGAAAGAAAAAAAACCCCCACACAAUGCCUACAGCCUCCUGGCAGGCAGCAGGAUUCCUCACAGAUGCCAGGCCUGUCAAACGUGACCUCCCUCUCAACCCCCUCUGGAGCAUACCUGGACACACCCCCUCCCCUGGACUCCUGACCUUCAGGCAAGUCAAGUUCCCUUAGAACCACACAGUGGAACUCAAGUGGGCCCUGCAGGGUAUCUUGCCCAGAGUCCAGGGUUCACCAAUGUGUGCUUAUUGGACACACGUGACAACCAUACUCCAAACCCCGAAUUUCUGGUAGCUGUGGAUCUGGCCGCUGGACCUGAACACCUAAGACAGCUUACAGCAAUAAAUAUCAGCUGACGCCCUUGGCCACUGGGACAUUAAUCCCGUAAACAAUACAUCACUUCAAAACAACCAGCUCCCCCUUCUCCUGGCUAAUCUGACAGUCACCUGCAUGCACAGUGGGCAAAGCUCCGCCAGCUGCCAUCAGGGCACUCAGGCAGGAGAACCGGACGAUCUGAGGGAACUUUCUGCGUUGCCAAGAUGAGGCCCAGCCUUGCACACAGCCUUCAGGUGGGAAGCACCUGGCUGCAGCUGGGCAGUGGGGGACCAGAUUGCAAACAAGGAAAUGAAGAACAGAAAAAUUUGAGGCAGAGGUGGGCCUUGAAGUGCGCCUUUCUUCCCACUGAGAACCAUACACAGGCCACCGUUUUCAUGGUCUGAGGAUGACAGGAAGUGCUCUGCAUCUCAUUUAUAAGAGGUCUGGGAGUCCCUUUGAAGGAAGUUGGGAAAGACCAUUCUGCUGGGUUGUUCCCCCCCCCCUUCCUUCAGGUGAACAAAGGGUAAAGACUGUCAAGGAACCCUGCCCACUUUGUCACAGCUCUCAAAAGAACCAGAGGAUUCCUAACCUGCUGGGACCUAGGCCUGUGCAAGACUGGGCAUUUGUGACCUGGGCCACCUCCUUCAGUGGAUACUCGACAUUUAGAGACAACAGAACUACGCAGAGGAGCCUCUGCUUCUGUGUGCAAGUGGGCGGUGGGCUUUGCUUUUCUGGAGAAAAGUGAUUGCUUGUGUGAAGGAGGUGAUUGUGGUGUCCCUGAAGAAGGAAAUGAAUCCAUGGGUUUGUUUAAUGGUUGAACCUUUUAUUGUUAAAAACUGGUUUGGCUGAUUUCCUGAGUCUUUGGCGGGAACAGCCUCUCCUUUCCUUUCCCUACCGAUCUCGCUGAAACUGAAUUUGAAUUGAUCAGCUUCAAUUUAUCAAUAGACGGGGCCUCAGACACUGGGCCUCGAGCAGUUUCCUGGAGAGGAAAUAAAUGUCUCCAUGUUGCAGGAGUAUUCCUACCAUAUCCAUGGAGUGCAGGGGGCGGUGGCGAUGUGGUGAAAAGCUGCCCCUACUAAUCAUCCCCCAGCCUGAGAGUCAAGGUGGGCUGCCUGCCUAUGGGCAGGGCUAGUCUCUGCCUGUUCUGCUCUUUUAACUUGAUCUCACUCUGGUGCAUCCAUGAGUGUUGGAUGGCUGCAAGGGCUGGGUUUUAAAGCCAGGGUGACUAUGUGGCCACUUCAGUAAUUGCUUUAGGAUGACAAGGCGCUCAGACCCUUGCUGAACAAUGCAGCCUGUCCCAUUGUGCCUUUAGGCCCCUGAGGUCAAGGAGCAGCUGAACACAGCAUACAUAAAAUAUCGCUUGCUGUUCAUAUUUUUCUGGUGACAAAGGGCAGUGUACCAGGGAGGAAGCAAAUCACAUGUCCCAGGCUUGCUCUUAGUCCACAGAGAGGUCUGCAAAUACAAAAAUCAACCUGAGGGCCAACUGAUACAUAAGCAGUUCCACACAUACCUGGACUAAGUACCAAUGAUCUCAGGCCUAGAAAAAAGUCCUGGACAUCCUUUUUAAAUGCUAAAAUCUGGGACUGGGCAGUAUAGCAAGCUCUGAAAUAGAAUAAAGGCUCAGCAUAAACAAGAUACUGGGUUCAACUUCUAUCCCUGCAAAGAAAACCAAGUCAAAUUUUGUUAGCAGAGAGGAAAGUCCUGUAGUUCAAGUGAAGCAGAGGUGAGGCUGGCUGGGAGGUCCUCUGACAGAGGCUUAGUCCACACCUCAGCAUGGCAGACUCCAGUUGACUCUCCUAAGGAAUGGAGGCAGCAGAAGAUGCUGUGAUCUGACUAUCCUUCUGUUUGGAGGACGAGGGGAGGAAUGGGGGAGAUGCCAUGUGAGAAGCUAGUCUAACUCGGUGGCCUGGAGGACAAGGUCAUUCUGCCUGGUCAAAGCCAUCAGUGUCAGUGUAGGCAAGUGACUGGUGAUGAUGAAGUCGAGGCCAGGUUAAACUGCUUUCAAAGGACAUCUAAAGUCAGAAUAAUCACACACUGUGUUUUACAAAAAGUGUCUCCAAACGCCUGACGCUACAGUGGGAAGGACAAACAUGGUCUGAGGUAAAAUUCAUGGCUGCGGGCAGAAGCGGGAUGGUGGUUGUUUAAUUUUAAAAGAUGGAAUCCAGAUCCAUUGUACAUUUUCUAGAUGCCCAUUGGAAAGGACAAGGGGCCUGGUGCUAAGUCAUAGAUCCCAGGAAGGCCUAGCAACCAGGCCUAGCAACGUGGAGGUGGGGGAGGGGUGUCUGGCUGAGCAACCUUUAGGUAAUCCAGCCCAUACAUUUUUCACAUCCCCUCUUUUCUGCCAUCACCUGCUUGACAUAACUGGGUCUCUUCUGACCCUGCCUUUGGACUAAAGGCCUCUCAGCAGGAUGAAGUGUCCGACUGUGCCCUUUACCUGUUCUUUGCUUCUGACAGUCUCUCAUGAAAACCCGCUGUAAUUAGGUGAUGAGUUGGCCUCCUCGUCACCAUCAAUCAGGUGAGGAAAGAGCUGUUCCAAACUCUCUUGAUGUCCUCAACAGUCUAUACCACACACACGGCUGAAUGCAUGGCAUUGUCUUGUAAAGACCACCCAAGUGCCCUUGAGAAUAUCGGGUGCAAACUCCCUCCCAGGAACUCCGCCCAAGGAAUCCCACCAUCUCAAAGGACUGUUCAAGCCGCCUAACUGGUGGGAAGUAGUUAGCGGGCCUGCUUGGCCACAGAGCUGGUCUCUGGACUGCACCAUUUGAAGGGCCUCGCUGUUCCUUACCGUGCCACAGCUCUCCUAGAUCUGUUUUUUUGUGUGUUUAUAAAUGUUUUACGUUUCAGUCAUUCAUCCAGCAACUGUGUGUCUGUGUGUGGAAGUGGGGGUGCAACGGCACCUGGGGAGCACAGAGGAUAACUUGCUGGAGUUGUUUCUCUCUGACACACGUGGGUUCCAGGGAGCGAACCUGGGUUUAGAGUAAGUGUGCUGAACCUCUAUGUAGGCCGCCAGAUGUGUUUUGAUUGGACAUGCGUGCGCGCGUGCGCACACACACACACACACACACACACACACACACACACACACACACCCCACAGUGCAGACAGCAGAGCUGGCUCUCAGCACCUUCUCCUUCUCUCAGACUUUUGUACAGUUUCUUUCUGAGUUGUCACAGAGGCAGCACCAAAGGCAGCUCAACCAGCUGGGCAGCCUCUGGGGAGGUGGGGUAAGGAGAACAAAAUGGAAUUUAGGGAGUUUUAAUCCUUAUGAAUUUAUAUCUGAAAGUGAACCCCACAUCACUGAAUCAUAGUCAUUUUUCUAACAAAGUUCUUAAUUCUUAGGGAUAUUUUAAUCCUUAAUUAAGAGCCAUGGAAGGCCUAUACUUCAGCCAUGUACUCCUAAAAAGGAAUUACACUGAAGUGAUUCUUUUUUUUUUGGUUCUUUUUUUUUCCGGAGCUGGGGACCGAACCCAGGGCCUUGCACUUCCUAGGCAAGCGCUCUACCACUGAGCUAAAUCCCCAACCCCUGAAGUGAUUCUUUUAAAGGUAAAAACAAGAAGCUGGCAGCAUCACCUGAGGGAGGAGCAUGGUCAGUAACUGGCUGACAGAAAAGCGCUCACAGGAGGCUCCAUGACCUUUCUUUGCUCCCCAAAGGUUACCACGAAAGGACAAUAGAAGAUUCCCUUCUUAAUUAACAUUUUUAUUAAAUAACCUAUUUCAAAUAAUAGUUAAAUUCUCUAAAUUUAUAUCAUUCUAUUAACCAUAAUCUAAUCUCAUUAACCUUGAAAUCCCAGUCUUAACUAUCCAAUUCUACACACCCUGGUACUCUCUACAAACUAAUUAAGUGACCUUCAAACUAUUUGUCCUCUGUAUAAAAUCAUUUUCUUUGCUCUCAGUUCUUUGCUGGAUGUCUCAUUCAUACGAUUGCAUUUUGAUUAAUUAAUUAAUUUAUCUGUGAGUUUAAGUCAGUGGACAACUUUUGGGAGACAGCUCUCUCCUGCCCUGUGGUUCUGGGAUCAAACUCAGGUCAUCCAUCAACUUUGGCAGCAAUCACCUUUAUCCACUGAGACAUCUUGCUGACUCUGGACCUCUUUUGAUGUCACAUCCUGUGCCCCUGGUUGCUGCAGGUCCCCGAUUAAAAAAGCAAAGUUUUUUUUUUUUUUUUAGCAGAUAACCGAAUGGUUGUAGUUCCUCACUCUAUUCAAACUGCUUACGAUUUACAGACGUGCCUUGCUGCUCUCACGGUCUAACUGCCUAGUAGCUUGCUGUGUAAGGGUUUUCUCUACAAUGGAGCCUGGGAAUGAAGCUCACAGGUUCAGUACUUGCCUAUCAUGUUCAAGGCCAGAUUGUAGGGGGCUGUGUCCCUGUGGUGGUUACACUGCCAACUGCAGGGGGCGCUGUGUACCCAUGGUGGUUACACUGCCAGAAGCCCACAGCUGUACCCAGACAGAAGUGGUUCCCAUGGUAUCGUGUGCCUUUGGCUUUAAGGCACUCAGGACUGACUCCAGAUCAUUCACUCUGGCCCAGGCCCCUCUUCCAUGUCCUUGGGCAGGUUGAAGAAGCAAUAACCUCACUUUAAUUCUGGCUUUGCCUUUUCACAUUGCCUUCACCCUGGCCAAGAGUGGAGAUGGCAGUACCACAAGCCCACAUUCUGAUGAGUGUCCACACAACCUAUCUGUUCUCCUCAGCCCACCUCUUACAGCUCCCAACACGAGGAUGCCCGUGACUUUUUUUUUUUCUUUUUUUCUUUUUUUCGGAGUUGGGGACCGAACCCAGGGCCUUGCACUUGCUAGGCAAGCUCUCUACCACUGAGCUAAAUCCCCAACCCCG
rnacentral:sRNA from 1 species